GAUGAAGAACGUAGCGAAAUGCGAUACUUGGUGUGAAUUGCAGAAUCCCGUGAACCAUCGAGUCUUUGAACGCAAGUUGCGCCUCAAGCCAUUAGGUUGAGGGCACGUCUGCCUGGGCGUCACAUAUCGUUGCCUGAUGCCAGUUUCCUCGUGAUGGGUGACUGUGCAGGGCGAAUGAUGGCUUCCCGUGAGCAUUGUUGCCUCAUAGUUGGUUGAAAAUUGAGUCCUUGGUAGGGAGCGCCGUGAUAGAUGGUGGUUGAGUGACGAACGAGACCCAAUCAUGUGAGACCCCUACCGAAUUUGGCCUUCAUGACCCACAUGCGUCUUUGGAACGCUCAUGACGAGACCUCAGGUCAGGCGGGGCUACCCGCUGAGUUUAAGCAUAUCAAUAAGCGGAGGA
rnacentral:misc_RNA from 1 species